AGGAAGUUUUAUGAGGAUUGCUUUUCAUGCUGCCGGAGGAGGAGAAGUAAUCGAGUGGCUCCAGCCAGUGAACCAGAUGAAACAAUAGUAUCCUCCUCCGAGGAGUCCUGGGAUUUGGAGACUUGGCGUUUCUGGAGAGUAUCCGCACCGCAGCCCGACCCUGACGCAAGGAGUGAGGACUCCCUUCAAGAGGAGUCCUUUGAAUCCUGGUGCACCAUCACUAAGAAGACCGAGGAAGACCUGCGCACGGACGCACUUUGGAGCCAGCAGCCUCAGAAAGAGAA